AAUCUGUAGUCAGUAGGGCAGGUCAAUUUGGAAUUUUCUUUACAGAAGACUUUGAAAUCCAAGUUGAUAGGUGGUUGUCUCAAGAGGACAAGGUUUUUUCUCACUAAUGCCAAACGCUAAAUUUAUAGAAUGAUGUCGUUCUCUUUAAUUUUUUAUUUAUUAAUUUUGUUUAAGUAAUCUCCAUAUUAACAUUACGAAGUUUAUAAGAUAAAGCAGAAAAGGCCAAGACAAGCCGUGGAUUCAACAAAUUUCUGUCAACUUUGGGAUCGAAGAGCAUCGCAUAGGUUGCACGAGAGAUGGUACGUAUAACUCAGGCAAUUAAUAAAAAAAUGUUCACGGCUCGUACGUACUCUAGUUAGAUCAUAAACUUGUACGAUAAUGUGAAUGAUAUUGCAGGAGGAAGAAACAGGAUAAACCCCGAACCGAUGCGAUAUGUUCAUGGUCACGCAUACCAAGAAAGAUAGGAACGCUGUGAAUGAAUUAGCUGGAGAAGUUAUGGUAAGUGUUAAAUACGUAUUAUUUACGUGAAUUUGGUUAUGGUAAGUAUAUCUUUAUGCAGAUUCUAUGUUCAAUUUAUCAUUUGUAUGUUUUUUUGUAGACGAAGAUAAAAUCAAUUAUCGAUAAUCAGUCGCCAGCAGAACGAGUGUGUUCAUAGGGGUCGAUUUAUUGAUCGCCUAACAAUGCGUGCGAACAAGUAUUAGGACGGGAACAUUCAAGUCGUGUUUGCGAGGUGGGGCUGGGGCCAACACCCGGUAAAUCCACCUCGUAUACCUCCGGGCAAGGAUCUAUCUUUAGUGCGCCUACUCCCAGGGAACAAGCAAUGGCUACUGAGAUGGAACGUUUGAAGAAUUUGUACGAAUCGCAAAACAUCUUGUAUCAAGCGCAACAAGAAGAGUUGGUAGCCGUCAAAUGUAUGAAGGGAAAACAACCAUUAAUGAGAAACAACCAAGAAGAGUUUAAUGAAGUGACAUGUGUAAGUACAAAUGCAGGGAACCCGUAGUUGUGAAAGAUGAUGACAAUGAAAUAGGACAAGAUGGCGCUUAAAAGGGAUAAUGCUUGAUGGCCGUAGGUUUGUGUAGUUUUGUUUCGGUUUGUGAAGUGGAUUUAGACUAUGAAUUUGGAUUGUAAUUA